rnacentral:sRNA from 1 species
AAAAAAAAGUAAUAGCAGCAGCAGCAGCAGCAGCAGCAGCAGCAGCAGCAGCAGCAGCAGCAGCAGCAGCAGCAGCAGUACUGAUGAUCUCUAUGUCAUCAGCAAGUGUUGCUAUGAGUUUGUCUUGUUGCAACCGCAAGUGCUGCUAUUCUUCUUGGU